AAUACAAAACAUCACGAAACAAAACAAAAUACGUCCUAAACAUACCAGCUCUACUAAAAACAAACUCUGGGGAAAAGAGACACGACAAUAAAAAUCCUAAGAAGACAUCUAGACCCACAAGUAGCCCCACCCCUCAUCAAAUAGACAUGCAUUGUCCCUAAUACAUUAGGCUGCUAUAAAACAAAAGAGUUAGGAACAUACCUAUGGAACCUUAGGUGCGUUGAUCCAACGUCGACCA
rnacentral:lncRNA from 1 species